CCACCCCCUCUGGGGAACAGGAGACACAGAAGAUGGAGGGAGGGAUGGCAGCCUACCCUGUGGCAACGCGGGAGUCGCGUUGCCGCAGGGGGCGCAUUGGGGUCCAGCCGUCCCCAGAACGCAGAUCAGAGGUAGUCGGACCUUUCCCGCUGGCGCGCAGCCUCAGCUAGGCCCACAUUGAUGGGAAUUCCCGGAGAGUCAAAGAAGCCCAAUCACAUAGAGACAGAGCAAGAGAGGAAGCGGGCUCCAGUAGAAGUGGGGCACACAGAGUGAACAGAAAAAGAGGAUACCUCUGCGAUCCCGGGUCAUCUCCAGAUGCUAGGGUUAUGGUCCUAGGUCUCUCGACUCUUCAGGAUGAUGUCCUACACAACAUCAACAACCAGUGGGUACCCUGUGCCCUAGGGAGAAGACUGACAGAAUGGCAUCCUGUGGCACCCUUGACCCAGCCUUUCUUUGAGGGGAGCAAGAGGAAACCAGACAAUACUUGAAAUGCAAUGCACCUGGGUUACCAUUUCUUGUCUCAGUGCAGUACCCAAUAAUCAGGAAAUUCUCUCUCCUCUUUACAAGAGAUAACGCCUGAUAAUGUGGCCACUACCACCGCCCCGUUAUUUGGCUAGGCCUGGGUCCUCCAGAUGAGACAUUAGUUCUCAGGUUUUACAUAGCCCCAAGACCUCCAGGGCAAGGAUCCCUCUCUUCCCCUAACCUUGUUUCUGCACUAAGAGCAAAGAUCCAUAGUCUCAAUGCCCUGCAGUAGCUUCAGCUCCCAGUUUCCAAACAUGGCGGCCAACAAGGCCUGACCUCCACCACCUCUGGGACCUGACAGGCCUUGCAGCCCAGGGCUCCUUGGUGGAUGAGCCUGGUUCCCUCGCUUUCACACCAACUCUGAAGGCACCCACUCAGGUGCCCAUGUCCACCUCCAGAAUUCUCUGAGUGUUCCAUACCUACCCUGUUACCUAACAUACCUACCCUGUUACCUAACAGAAGUAUGAAUAUACAGAGAGGGGCCAGAAGCCAUACUCAAAAAGCUUCUGCUUGAUGGCCCUUUUGCUCCAGUAAUGCCAACCACUCUGGCCUGCCAGACCUUUCCCCUUGCCUUUUGUCCUAAUCCAAAGGGAGUCCCAAAACCAGUCCAAGACCUUGAAGUGGGAUUUACUCUGCUUGGGUUCUCGGGGUGAACUGGUAUCCCUUUCUGUCAUGCUCUCAGUGGGAAAUAUAAAUGUCUAUGAAAUAAUUCAUCAAAACGAA
ensembl:lncRNA DANT2 DXZ4 associated non-coding transcript 2, distal